AUAUCGUGCACGACAUAAGUUAUAAAUAUCGUAGGAAGAUUCUCCAUGAGAUUGAUUACCAUUUCGUUUAAAUACGAUAUUUUGAAUUCUACUUUUUUGUUAAUGUCGACAUUUUGUCCCAAAAAGUGAAUAAAUAUGAAUUAGUCAAUAUAAACAAAAAUUUCCUCUCGGAACGAAGGUAAACACAAUUCGAUUUUGACACAGUGAAACGAUCGAAAAGAUAUGAAUAUGGAGAAUGAAGAACAGUGGUAUCAAAGGAGGAAAAGGGAUCAAAAGGAGGAAAGAAAGAUAAAGGCGAGAAGAAAUUUCCCUUUUACGGUAAUAUUGAUCCAAAGUUAUUGUCAACAUUGUGAAGAGAUAAUCGGGGGUGCCACCGUCGUGAAUAUAUGUGAGAGGGAGUGGGACCAAACAGCGCAUGCUCGACUUACUAUACGAGGGGUUACGAGCCAUCCGCGGAAAUAAUAUGAACCGUUCAUUCUGUUUCGAGUCGCCCGGCAAGCACGUUCUCGUGAGCUUUGAAGAUGGACGGACCGGAGUAAUAUAAAAGCGCCUCUCCAGUCCGAAUAAUGGAAACCAUCUGUAGCAUUUUAAGCAACACGCUAUCGGAUAUAGUUUUCGAUGCGGCGUCACCACAUACUUUGCGAACAGUCGAUAUUCCUUAUAUAAACGUCAAGAAGAGUGGACCGCAUAAUUCAAGGAAUCAUUAAAGAGGAAUAUUAAAGGCUACCACGAGCAUUUAUUCCUGGCAAUAUCCUGCGGUUGCGACAGAGCUUCGAUGUUUACUCGUCGGAGUAGAAAGGAUGACUGAUCCGGUGUCCCGUGGGGCGUUUAACGGAAUGUUACUAAAACAGUGGUUUAUUUAACUUCUCGUCCAUCUAUUUUGUUCAAAUGGAUUUAAAAUUACCGAAAGUAUUAAGUUUGAAGUUCUCCGCUGUGGAAAGUGAAGAUAACCGUUAAAUUCAUUCAAAGAGGGCCUACUCUUUGACGCCAUGAUAAGCAACCAUAGCAACGAGCGGGGGAUGAAUAUCGUCUGGCUGAGGACGGCGAAAAAGCUUUACGUCAUUCCUUCGGUGGGUGUCGAACUAGCAAUACGUGAGCAAGUGACGUACAAUAAAUAUUCCCAAUGUCUAUAAAUCAUACGUUCCUAAGGGUAGUUUAACAAGCGGUUCAGGCGGUGGAAACAAUUUCUUCGUUCUCACUAGUCUUCUGUUUAUGUUAUCAAUAUAAGAGGUGCAGUUGCAAUAGUCUUGCAGUAUUGCAAAGGAGUCCAAUUGACUUACAUUUGAGUUUAAUUCCAAAGAAGAUACACGAAUUUCAACUACGCUCAUCGUGGUAAAGAAAUAUUCGACAUCCAAAGUGCAACAUAUUUAUGUCGGUACUUCCUGUUCUUCCGACCAUAAAUUCUACAUGGAUAGUACAAAGGCUGUGUUUGCCGAAAGAUUUUAUGAAGUAGUUCCAUUAAAGUAUUUCCAUUUAUAAGUGAAUUCAAUUCAAAUCUUCCACGCCGUAUGAAACACAAAUUCGCGAGAGAAGCACCUAAUUCUGCGGUGUAUGCAAACAACGUGGCACCAUUAUUUGCGCAUUACUACAGUAACCAUCGAUUUUAAUACCGGAUUUUUAUAAACGAGCGCAUUGGACUGCGAGGUCGGAAGAGUCGUUCAAGAAGCAAUCCGAAAAUCUAACCAAAAAAAGGAGACUUAGCUAUUCCUCUUAGAUUAAGUACUCUUAAAUCUUCUUAUAUUGAUGUAUUGCAACAUGAUGGUAAUAUAGAGGUAGAUUUGAUACUGAAUAAUCACUUUUUUACAUGUUUGAUUGAUAUCUUCAUUUUUGGAAAAUAGAUUGGACUACAAUUUUUAUACACAAGUGUUAUAAUCAAGAUAUCCGUAAAUUCGGCUCCUGUGUAAUUAUUAUCAGUUGUAGGAAUUGCUUUCGCCUUCUAUUUUCUUUCGUAUAUAUUUAAAACAAGUAAAAAUUCGUAGAUUAGUUAAGACUUAUCAAUGCUAUUCGUUCAUUUUAAUUGUAUAAAAUUGUACGGAAGAUAAGUCAGAUGAUGCCAUUUAAGUGCUACAGUAACUUCUAUUGCUACAACAAAAUAAUAAUUAUAAUGAUAUGAAUCAAGAGAAUCAGUUUCAUUGCUAUAAUUUAGAAAUGUAACGUUGUAAUAAUUCUGAUGCAAACGGCAACUACUAAAUUUAAAGAUUAUUGAUGGCGUAAGAGUAUGACGAGUGAGAAUGAUGAAAUUGUUUCUGCCGUUUCAAUUGCUUGUAAAGGUGUUCUUUCGGAUGUAUGACUUAUAUACACAUCGGGCAUAUUUCACGUAUGGCACUCACUCGUGUAUUACUAGUUCGAAAACCACCGAAGGAAUGACUUUCCCCGGCGAAAUUAAUUAACUAAUAAACCGUUGUCACGUUAUAAGACCAUGCUUCCUACCUUGUUCAUAAAAAAUUCCCCUCUCCAGUUUUCAUUUCCUCUACGUAAAUGAGAAAUUAUCUCAUAAAUCUUGGAAUCUUGUAAUGCAAUCGACAAUUAUUCGUUUCAUUCUUAAUCGAAAUUAUCAUGUAAAAUUGUAUUUUUUUUAAUUAAAAUUAUAUAAAUAAUUAUGUAUUUAUUAUAAAAUUAUGUAUUAAUUAUAGUUACAUAAGUUCAAAUUUUUUAAUUAUGCUUUUAAUUGUAUUAUUUAUAAUAUAAUUAAUUAUUAUGAAUAA